rnacentral:rRNA from 1 species
UACGUAGGGGGCAAGCGUUGUCCGGAAUCAUUGGGCGUAAAGCGCGCGUAGGCGGCCCUGUAAGUCCGCUGUAAAAGUCAAAGGCUCAACCUUUGAAAGCCGGUGGAUACUGCAGGGCUAGAGUCCGGAAGAGGCGAGUGGAAUUCCUGGUGUAGCGGUGAAAUGCGCAGAUAUCAGGAGGAACACCCGUGGCGAAAGCGGCUCUCUGGGACGGUACUGACGCUGAGACGCGAAAGCGUGGGGAGCAAACAGG